GAGAAACUAAGCAAGUGAUUCCAUUCAAAUAAAUUAAAUGCAAAGUCACUACAAUUGGGAGGUUUAGAUUAAAGAAGGCCUUUUCAGGUGUGGUUAACCACAGAGUGAGGACGCGAGCUCUAAGCUGGACUUGGCAGCAGAAGAGAGAAGUUGGGCCACUUGAUGUGAACAGCCGACUCAUUGGAAAAGACCGUGAUUGGGAAAGAUUGAAGGCAAAAAGGAGGAGACUCCCAUAGCCUCUCCUAAAAAUUAACCAGCCCAGUGGAAAAGAAUCCAUCUGCCAAUGCAGGGGACAUGGGUUCGAUCCCUGGUCCAGGAAUAUUCCACAUGCUGAGGGGCAAUUAAGCCCAUGGACCAUAACUACUGAGCCGUACUCUGGAGGCCUCGAGCCACAACCACUGAGCCCAGGUACUGCAGCUACUGAAGCCAGCACCCCAGAGCCCAUUUUCUGUAACAAGAGAAGCCACUGCAAUGGAAAGCCUGCACACUGCGAUGAAGAGUAGCCCAGCUCACCGCAACUAGAGGAAGCCUGCAUGCACCAAUGAAGACCCAGUGCGACCAAAAAUAAAAUUUAAAUUAAAUUCUCUGUGCUUCAGUUUUCAUAACCAUGAAAAGGGGACCAUCAUACCUAUUAUGUAGGGUUGUUAUGAGGCUGAAAUGAGAUAAUGUUGCAAAGUACUUCGUAUAUAGUAGGUACGCGUAAAUGAUGCUUAGUCUUACCUAACAACUCUCUUUCCUUUGGAGAUAAGAACUAACUUGUUUUGUGCAGUACUGUGCUGUGUGCUGCUUCCUGGCUACAGACUGUCUACAUGUCAUAACAGCUACUGUUGACUAAAUACAUAAAAUGUGAC
ensembl:lncRNA